rfam:Populus trichocarpa scaffold_1_contig_302, whole genome shotgun sequence.
UCUAGAACUCGAGAUAUUGGCUGAAUAUUGAACAGUGUCUGGUUGCAGGACAGAUUCCAACUUCUUCGUUGUUGCUAGGAUUUGGACUUCCAGACAGCAGAAUUAAGUCUUUCACUCCCCAUGAAUAUUUUAGGCCUAUGUCUUAGCUUUCUAGC